rfam:Solirubrobacterales bacterium 70-9 SCNpilot_bf_inoc_scaffold_4551, whole genome shotgun sequence.
UGCGCCCUGGUGUAAUGGCAGCACGCCUCGCUCUGGACGAGGUAGUCGGGGUUCGAGUCCCUGGGGCGCAG